rnacentral:rRNA from 1 species
CAGCAGCAGCCGCGGGAAUACAGAGGGUGCGAGCGUUAAUCGGAUUUACUGGGCGUAAAGCGUGCGUAGGCGGCUUUUUAAGUCGGAUGUGAAAUCCCUGAGCUUAACUUAGGAAUUGCAUUCGAUACUGGGAAGCUAGAGUAUGGGAGAGGAUGGUAGAAUUCCAGGUGUAGCGGUGAAAUGCGUAGAGAUCUGGAGGAAUACCGAUGGCGAAGGCAGCCAUCUGGCCUAAUACUGACGCUGAGGUACGAAAGCAUGGGGAGCAAACAGGAUUAGAUACCCCCGUAGUCCCUGUCUCUUAUAC